rnacentral:rRNA from 1 species
CGUAGGUGGCAAGCGUUGUCCGGAUUUAUUGGGCGUAAAGGGAACGCAGGCGGUCUUUUAAGUCUGAUGUGAAAGCCUUCGGCUUAACUGGAGUAGUGCAUUGGAAACUGGAAGACUUGAGUGCAGAAGAGGAGAGUGGAACUCCAUGUGUAGCGGUGAAAUGCGUAGAUAUAUGGAAGAACACCAGUGGCGAAGCGGCUCUCUGGUCUGUAACUGACGCUGAGGUUCGAAAGACGUGGGUAGCAAACAGGAUU